AAAAGAGACAGCUAGCUAACAGCUAACGACUAACCUUAAGAGAUAGAAGUGUAAUUUGUUUAUGCUGAUUAUUGUAAUAUAUUGUCGGAAGAAAUGAAAUUGUACAGAUCCUUCUCAAAUCUCGGGUAAAAGUUCUUCUAAACCAAGCCCGGAGGAAAGUAGCAGACAUAAAGAAGAGUUGGCAAAGAUUCAAGAUCCUUCUCAAAUCUCGGAAAAAAGAUCUUCCAAACCAAGUGCAGUGGA